rnacentral:rRNA from 1 species
GAUGAACGCUGGCUACAGGCUUAACACAUGCAAGUCGAGGGGAAACGACGGGGAAGCUUGCUUCCCCGGGCGUCGACCGGCGCACGGGUGAGUAACGCGUAUCCAACCUGCCUCUGACUGAGGGAUAACCCGUCGAAAGUCGGCCUAAUACCUCAUGGUAUCGUCUGCGGGCAUCCAACGACGAUUAAAGAUUUCAUCGGUCAGGGAUGGGGAUGCGUCUGAUUAGCUUGUUGGCGGGGUAACGGCCCACCAAGGCUACGAUCAGUAGGGGUUCUGAGAGGAAGGUCCCCCACAUUGGAACUGAGACACGGUCCAAACUCCUACGGGAGGCAGCAGUGAGGAAUAUUGGUCAAUGGGCGAGAGCCUGAACCAGCCAAGUAGCGUGCAGGAAGACGGCCCUAUGGGUUGUAAACUGCUUUUAUGCGGGGAUAAAGUGAGGGACGUGUCCCUCAUUGCAGGUACCGCAUGAAUAAGAACCGGCUAAUUCCGUG